UAUUGAACUUCUGGCCUAGUGUCAAAAUCAAGUAUAUUGCAGUUGGUAAUGAAGUGAGUCCAGUUGGAGGCUCUUCUUGGCUAGCCCAAUAUGUUCUACCUGCCACCCAAAAUAUAUAUCAAGCGAUAAGAGCUCAAGGUCUUCAUGAUCAAAUCAAGGUUUCAACCGCUAUUGACAUGACCCUUAUUGGAAAUUCAUUCCCUCCAUCUAAAGGUUCUUUUAGAAAUGAUGUUAGGUCAUACCUAGAUCCUUUCAUUGGAUACUUGGUAUAUGCAGGUGCACCUUUACUUGUCAAUGUUUACCCUUAUUUUAGCCAUGUUGGUAACCCGCGCGAUAUAUCUC
rnacentral:lncRNA from 1 species